rnacentral:tRNA from 1 species
ACUUAAAUAGCUUAUAAUGUAGAGUAUAAUAUUGAAGAUAUUAGGGAAAUUUAUUUAAUUUUUAAGUA